rnacentral:rRNA from 1 species
AGUGAACGCUGGCGGCGUGCCUAAUACAUGCAAGUCGAACGGAGUGGCGCACGGGUGAGUAAUGUAUAGCUAAUCUGCCCUACACUAGAGGACAACAGUUGGUAACGGCUGCUAAUACUCUAUAGUGUAGGAUGAGGCUCUAUUGUAUCAGCUAGUUGGUGAGGUAAUGGCUCACCAAGGGUAUGACGCAUAACUGGUCUGCUAGGAUGAUCAGUCACGUUGUAAGGGAGACACGGGCCAGAAUCAUACGGGAGGCGGCAGUAGGGAAGAUUGCGCAAUGGGGGAAACCCAGAAGCAGCAUCGCGGCGUAGAGGAUGACAAUUUGGGGAGAGUAAACUCCUUUUGAUAGGGAAGCGGUACCUAAAGAAUAAGCACCGGCUAACUCCGUGCCAGCAGCCGCGGUAAUAC